GGCUGGGCCCAGGGCGACAGCGGAGCCUUCACACCGCUUUCUCCGCGCGCUGAUGGAGGAUUCCUGGCCUCACAGCAGUGCCUGGCCUGUGGGCGUCCCCGGCAGUCCUCGGCUGCGGGACCUGUAUCGGGACUGCGCAAAGUGGGCUUCCAGGAGAGCAGGGCGUCCCUCAGUCAGCUGACCCCUUGGAGCGUGGGGCAGCCCAGGCCCGUGAGGCCGCCAGUGUCACCCUCAGGCCCGCGAGGCCCCCGAGCCCCUUGUGGGGUCCAAGGCCCAUUCUGGAUCAGUCACGAGGCAAGACCGCGGACCCUCAGGAGAUCACCAGGAGCCCGCCGCGCAUUCCUCCGCCUCCACCACGCCAGUCACCUGCUCAGCCCGAGGGCAGCCAGCGGCCGUCGCCCCAGUGAGGCGGCCGGUGAGGAGCUGAGGCCGUGACCAGGGCAGCGCCCCGCGAGUCAGCGUCAGUCCCCGCGCCAGCCAGUUCCUCAGACAAUCAGCUCACCAUUCCCAUCGCGUAUGCUGGGAAAUCAUCAAUAUACCCGCUGUCAUGGAAUUGCAGAAUCGUUAUCCAAAUGGCUUUGACUUUUACCACUACUCCCAGCCAUGCACCAGAAUUCCGAUCCAUUUCUCUGUUCCUUUUUGUGUUUCUGCAACAUGACCUCAGUUCUCUCAGGAAGCCCCAAAACCUGUGAAACUAACCUGUGCUUGCAGCUCUGCUUGCUGCCAGAAACAAAGGCUGGGAGCCAGCAACAGGAACCAGCCAGGGGAUGAGUUCAGCCCAGACGUGCUGCCUGGACCUGGAUUCCUGCCUCAGUGCAGGCCUUGACCUGAUUUCUUGCUUCAUUACCAUACUAAAAUCUCCACUCAGGGGCGAGAACUAUGCCUUGCUAGGCACAGAAGGUGCCAAGUACAAAAGAAAACACAAGAGUGUGCACACUUCAGCCCCUCCUGAAGGAACCCACCUUUUUCCAGAUCUGCCCGCCUCAGUCUCCAACUACCUGCCCUAAGGGCCCUUAAGAUCCCCUUUUACCAACCCCUGGGAGAAGGUGCUUUGCACAUGAACUCCCUUUCUCCAUUUCUUGAUCAAUGAAUAAAGUUUCUUCUCCGCUUUGCCGAUUCUGGUCUCAUUCUAUUGGCGUAAGUGGCAGGGGGCAGAGAAAGGACCCACUAGGGCCAACUCACCCCUCCAAGGGUGGGUAACAUUUGCAGCAAAACUCCUCAAGAGGUUGUUUGUCG
rnacentral:lncRNA from 1 species